CUUGACAACAAAACCUGAUACUUAUCAGCUUUCUCAUGAUGCCUCAUUGGGUAAACGCCUGGAUGUGGGUGAUUCUAGCCAGAUCCAUCCCUAUCAGAUACCUUCUGAUGUUGGUCUGGAAAAUUAUGAUGGUCAUUAUUCUCAAACUCGACCCCUGCAUGGAAGUCUUGGUAAAAGGCCUCAGAGAAACAGGAACUACCGAGAAUAUAGCACAAAGCUUCCAAAUGACAUAAAGGCCACCGUAUCCCAUUCCUGUGGAGAUUUACUGACUUCUCUGUCAAACCCUGACUCCAGCACCGAAAGACUUUUGAAGCUUAGUUCAGGUAAUAGCUUCCUGUCAGUUUACAGAUCUUUUUCAUAGGCAUGAAGGUAGAAAGUAUAACUGGAAAUUUUGGAAUUAAUGUUUCUUAAAUUGCAUUAGCAUUUCUUUCUUUUCUUUUCCUUUUUGACACCGGGGAUUGAACUCAGGGGCACCUAACUACUGAGCCACAUCCCCAGCCCUUUUUUUGUAUUUUAUUUAGAAACAGGGUCUCACUGAGUUACUUAGGAUCUCACUAAAUUACUGAGGCUGGCUUUGAACUUGCAAUCCUCCUGCGUCAGCCUCUGAAGCUGCUGGGAUUACAGGUGUGAGCCACAACACCUGGCACAUUAACAUUUCUUAAAUUGUAUUUCAGGGCCUCCAGUGGUCUAUGGAACUUCCAGAAAUCUACAGGGUAGAGUUUAACAUAACAGAUAUGUUAGAGAAAAUUUGUAGGAAUGUAAGCUUCACAGCUACAUAUUAUUUUAGUUAAGUAGCAUUCCAGGAUGUAUUUGUAGCUGCAUAUAAUAUUCUCUGACCACAAUCACUAAUAUUAUGAGUUACCUUCAGAAGAAACUAGUUUCAGAGUAAUUGAUGGAGACUAUUCUUUAAUUAUAUGUCAAUUUAUUCAACUGUAUACGUAUUAUAUGCCAGACACUAUAAGCAAAAUCAAAUUCCAUAAUUUUUUUAAAAGUCCCUACUUUCAUGUAAGCUCUAUAAUAAAAGCAGACAAUAAAUCAUAAACUUAUAAACAUGUGUCAAUUUAUGAUAAGUGCUGUGAUGAAAAAUACAAGGAUGAGAGCCAGGCACUGUGGUGCACUCCUGUAAUCCCAGUGGCUUGGGAGGCUGAGACAGGAAGAUCACAAGUUCAAAGCCAACCUCAGCAAAAAGCAAGGCACUAAGCAACUCAGUGAGACCCUGUCUCUAAAUAAAAUACAAAAUAGGACCGGGGAUGUGGCUCAGUGGUAGAGUGCCCCUGAGUUCAAUCCCCAGGACCUCCCUAAAAUAAAUAAGUAAAUAAAGACUUGAAUUACGAAGUAAGAGUGUAAGCCAUAUAGAUAAGUGAGAGGAGAACUUUCUAGUGAGACUACUACGUGCAAAGUUCCCAAGUCUGGAACAUGCUUGGCAUGUUCAAGAAACAACAAGGAGCCCAUGUGGCUAUAGUAGAGUUAAGUGAAGUGUAUGGAUGAAGUCAGAGAGAUGGCCAAACUUUUAUUCUGAGUAAGGUUAGAAGUAGUUGAAGGGCUAGGCGCAGUGGCACAUGCUUGUAAUCCCAGCAUCUUGGGAAGCUGAGGCAGGAGGAUCACAAGUUCAAAUCCAGCUGCAGCAACUUGAAGAGGCCCUAAGCAACUUAGCAAGAUCCUGUCUCAAAAUAAAACAUAAAAUAGGGUUGGGGACGAUGGGGUUGUGGCUCAGUGGUAGAGUGCUUGGCUAGCAUAUGUGAGGCACUGGGUUCAAAUCUCAGCACCAUGUAUAAAUAAAUAAAUAAAGGUCAAUCAAUAACUAAUUUAAAAAAAAAGGUUGGGGAAAACAUAAAAAGUGGUUCAGUGAUUAAGUAGUUUAAUACCCAAUAGCAAAUAAAAGAAGAAGAAGAAGUUGUUGAAUGGUUUGUAGCAAGGAAAUUAUGUGAUCUAACUGAAUAAUUACUCUAGCUGGAAAAUAAAAAUAAAAGAAUUACUCUGGGGUUGGGAUUGUGGCUCAGUGGGAGAGUGCUCGCCUAGCAUGCACUGGGUUUGAUCCUCAGAACCACAUAAAUGUAAAAUAAAGAUAUUGUGUCCACUUAAACCUAAAAAAUGAAUGUUAAAAAAAAAAAAGAAUUACUCUGUCUGGGCAGGUGGAAGACACCUACAAUCCCAGCUACUCCAAAGGUUAGGCAAAUUUGAGGGCAGGUUAGGCCACAUAGCAAGACCCUGUCCCAAAAUAAAAAUUUUUAAAGGGCUGGAGAUGUAACUCGGUGGCAUAGCAUUUGCCUAGCAUGUGUGAGACCCUGAGUUAAAUUUCUAGUACCAAAAAAAGAAAAGAAUGACUCUGGAGGCUGUAUAGAGAAUAGACUGUGGGAGGGGGGCAAGGAUGAAAAUUCUUUUAACCAUUUAAAAGGUUAUGGUCCAGAUAAGAGUUGGUGGUGGCCUUGGAUAGAUAGAGUGGUUAAGGUGGUGAGAAGUAACAGGAUGUUUUGGAAGAAUGGAGUUAUCAUUUACUAAGAUGGAAAAGAGUGGGAAAAGCAGGUUUUCAGAUAAAUAUCAAGAGUUUGGUUUUAGAUGUCUUAAGUUUGAGAUGUCUACCAAAAGAUCCCAGAGAUGCCAACUUGACAAUUGGACUUAUUAGUCUGGAAUUCAGGGGAAAAGAUAUGGCUAUAAAUAUGAAUUAGAAGGGCUGGGGAUGUGGCUCAAGUGGUGACACGCUCGCCUAGCAUGCGUGAGGCACUGGGUUCGUUUCUCAGCACCACAUAGAAACAAAAAAAAUGAUAUUGUGUUCGCCUAAAAAACUAAAAAAUUAAAUAUUUUUAAAAAAUAUGAAUUAGGGAAUUAUAAGUGUUUUGGUGGCAUUAAAACUGUGAAACUAGAUGAGAAACUAGAUGCAAGAGAGAAGGGGGACAAUUACAAGUAGAAAAUGCUUGGGUAGUCAAGAAGAAAUAGGAUCUAGUUUACCAAUAGAAAGGUUGGCUUUAAAUGAAGCACAGACAGUUCAUCUAUUGUAAUAAGAAGGAGGCAGAGAAUUUAUGGACACAAAUACAAAUAAGAGUUGGUAGAUUUAGUGGUGGGAUCACAUGGACAUUUUCUUUGAUUAUCUCUAUUUUUUCUGUGUAGAUCAUCACCUGAGAGAAAGGAGAGAGGAUGAUGGAAGUUUGAGGAAGACAAGAAAUGUGAAAUGAUCCUCUCAGAGUAUAGAAAAGUAAAUUUGCCAGGGUAAUAUAUAUGAGAGCCGGACAGAACUAAGAGCCUAUACAAGAUAGUGAUCAGGAAUAAAGUAUGGAAGCUCAGAUGCAUUUUAUUCUCCAACCACAUUCCACUGCUGUGGUGUAGGCUUUUGGAGCAUGUGGGUUAUUGGAUUUAAUCAGAGUUAAGAUUUUACCAGGUGAAGGGAGAUAGAAAGGGUCCAGAGUGUUGAGGGUAUUUGCUAGGGAGUGAUUAUUAUGAUCUUUGGACAUAAGAGAGUUGAAGGGCAGGUUCAUCUUCCAGCCUGUUUCCUCCACAGAGCUAUAUGCCACCACCCAUUUCAACAGUGACCCUGCUUUGCUGGUCAAUGUAGAGCAACAGUUAUCCAGCAACCUCAGUGAUUUAACACCAGCACAUGGCUCUUUCCCAAACAACUCGGCCCUGGGAAACUCUCUGCGAAUGUUGCUGUUACCUCCUGGGACUUCAGAAGACCGAGAGAUUCUGACCAAGAGGUCAUUAAGCCCAUCCAAGAGAGGAUUCAAACGGAAGGACAAUAUCCUUGUCAACCUGAGUGCAAAGCAUGGUUUCCGUGAUGCUACAGGCAGUGAGGCAAGUGUUGGCUUGUUUGUGUGUGUGCAAGAAACACAUCCAGUUCAAGACUAGAAUGGGGUUCUGGUGGGGAUGGUGUUGGUUCUGGCCAAUAGUGCUAGAAGUUCAAAAGAAUUUUCAGAAACUAGGCUAACGCUCUCAGGCUAAAGCCUGUGAUUCUUCUAUCCUUGGGAAAGUCAUUUUCCCACUGCCACCAUUUUCUCCUUUCUAUCACAGGGGAACUAUCCCUGAUCUACUUCCAGAGCAAAAAAAUAUGGUAGGAAAAUACUUUAAGAAGUGGUCAACAAGAGUUUACUAACAGGAAGGAAUUCAAACAGUUCAGGGCCUCUGGGUUAGCUGAAGAUCUUUAUAGCAUUAAUUUUUAUAAUCUCAUCAUGCUUACUCAUUUUUUUUCAGCCACAAAUGACUUACUUGAAAUAGUUUUUAUAAAAAGCUUUGUUUUCACUUUCUACCUACAAAUUCAUAUAAUUCUAAAUUUUUGCCAAAGUAGCAGCAAGAAGAUAAAUUAGGGCUGGGGUUGUGGCUCAGAGGUAGAACACUCGGCUAGCAUGCAUGAGGCACUGGGUUUGAUCCUCAGCGCCACAUAAAGUAAAAUAAAGACAUUGUGUCCACCUAUAACUAAAAAAUAAAAUUAAAAAAGAAGAUAAAUUAGAUUAUCCAAGGGAUUUUUAGCUAAAAAUGGGCUCAGAAAAUGAAUGAAAAAUCAAGAACAUUCCCACAUAUGCAAUAUAGUUCAUCUUUACAAAAUCAAAAUGUAAUAGUAUAUAUAAUAAAACUUCAACACUUACUAAGAAGUUUGGCCCUGCAAGCUCAUCCCACAUUCAUUCCUCACAGAAAAUGCCCUCCACUCCCCUCUCUUCUCUGUUUGAAUGCUAACUUUUCUCCAGAUCUUAACUGAUAAUCAUGAAGACUUCUCUCUUUCGUUAUAGGAACCACAAUCCUUAGGAUCC
rnacentral:lncRNA from 1 species